UAGACGUCAAAGCGGACGUGCGGAUUCCCACUUCCGGGCGCUUGUUGUCUUUUGAGUUAUUACAGAGCUACCGUACUAAGCUUAUUUCAACGCCUAAUUUUAUGUAUUGUUACUCAUGGUUUAGUUUUCUAUAAACUUAUUGGAAGAAAAGCAAUAGUUUAGAGGAUACUGCUACUUCGUUUGCAAGCAACAUUUUACAAAAACCGUUACAAGCUCUCAGUUGCAGCCUAAUCUUUGGGGACACCAGGUGGUCUGAGACAUGUCCACUAUGGAGCCACCGCCAGUCGCCCUCAAGUGGGAUCCCAAGAACCUCGAGAUCAAAACACUGUCUGUGGAGAAAACUCUGGAGCCCCUGGUCAUACAGGUGACGACACUGGUAAACACAAAAGGACCAUCAAAAAAGAAGAAAGGUCGCUCAAAGCGGGCCCAUGUCCUGGUUGCUGCUGUAGAGCGGGCCACAGAAAACUUCAUCAAGAAGGGAGAAGAGAUUGCAACAGAGAACCCUGACAUUCAUCAGGAAAUGAUGGCAGCUGUAGAUGAAGUGCGGAAGACAGGAGAGGCCAUGAGUAAGGCUUCGCGUGAAUUUGCGGAGGACCCUUGCUCAUCGGUCAAGAGGGGUAACAUGGUGCGCUCAGCACGGAACCUCCUGUCUGCUGUCACUCGACUACUGAUCCUCGCUGACAUGGUGGAUGUGCACCGGCUGCUGAAAUCAUUGCGUGUGGUCGAGGAUGACUUGGACAAGGUCAAGAAUGCAUCCAGCCAGUCUGAGCUGAUGGAGUUCUUUCGAAACUUUGGUGUCAACACUGUUGAGCUGAUACAGCAGGCUGCACGCAGGCAGGCGGAGCUGAAGGACUCAAGGUUGCGAGAUGACCUUGCUGCUGCCAGGGCAGUGCUGAAGAAAAAUAGCAUGAUGCUUCUCACAGCCUCUAAGGUCUACAUUCGUCAUCCUGAGCUUUCGGCUGCCAAGGAGAACAGAGAUUUUGUGUUUCGGCAAGUGUGUGAAGCAGUCAACACAAUUGGCGACGUUGCACAAGGUCGUGCUGGUGCCCUAGUGCCAUCCUAUGAGGGCCCUGGCGAGUUAGCAGCUGCACUGGAUGAUUUUGAUGAGCGUGUUGUGCUGGAUCCACUCACCUACAACGAACUGCGCACCAGGCCAGCUUUGGAAGAGAGGCUGGAGAGUAUUAUCAGCGGAGCCGCCCUCAUGGCCGAUUCAUCAUGCACCCGCGAUGAGCGGCGGGAGCGCAUUGUGGCAGAGUGCAAUGCAGUUCGGCAGGCCCUGCAAGACCUACUGGCUGAAUACAUGGCAAGUGCGGGCCGCAAGGAGGACUCCCUGGACAAGGCUGUGGAGCAGAUGGGGCGCAAGACGCGGGACUUGCGGCGGCAGCUGCGCAAGGCAGUCGUGGACCACGUAUCGGAUUCGUUUCUCGAGACACAGGUGCCUCUUCUAGUGCUGGUAGAGGCAGCACGUGCCGGGAACGAGCGGCAGGUCGAGGAAUAUGCGCGUGUGUUUGCCGAGCACGCCCACAAGCUGGUUGAAGUGGCCAGCCUGGCCUGCUCUAUGUCAAGCCAUGAGGAUGGUGUAAAGAUGGUGCGGUGUGCGGCGGCCCACAUUGAGGGCCUCUGUCCACAAGUAGUGAAUGCAGCUCGUAUCCUUGCAGCACGGCCACGCUCUAAAGUGGCACAGGAAAACAUGGACGCUUUUCGAGAUGCCUGGGAGACACAGGUGCGUCUGCUUACAGAAGCUGUUGAUGACAUUACCACCAUCGAUGACUUCUUGGCUGUGUCAGAAAACCACAUUCUUGAAGAUGUCAACAAGUGCGUGCUGGCUCUGCAAGAGAAUGAUGCAGAUGCAUUGGACCGUACUGCUGGUGCCAUUCGAGGGCGUUCAGCCCGUGUGUGCAAUGUGGUAACUUCCGAGAUGGACAACUAUGAGCCAGGUAUCUACACAGAAAGAGUACUUGAGGCUGUGGCAGUGCUGAGAGACCAAGUUAUGCCAAACUUUGCCCAGAAGGUUGAGAUGGCAGUAGAAGCACUGAGCGCCAGUCCCCAGAAAGAAAUAGAUGAAAAUGAAUUUAUAGAUGCUUCCCGUCUAGUUUAUGAUGGCGUGCGGGAGAUUCGCCGUGCAGUGCUGAUGAAUAGGAGUGCAGAGGAGCUGGACUCUGAAACAGAGAUCGAGUACGAGGAUAACACCUAUGAAACACGCAGCAAAUCUAGUGCCCACACUGCCGACUAUGAUGAGUAUCCGGACAUCAGUGGCAUCAACAACACACGGGAUGCUUACCGCCUCGUGUCAGAAGAAGAGAAGCAGAAGAUUGCUGCUCAGGUGGAGACAUUCCGCACAGAGAAGAACAAGUUUGACCGCGAAGUGGCCAAAUGGGAUGACACCGGCAAUGAUAUCAUUGUGCUGGCGAAGCAGAUGUGCAUGAUUAUGAUGGAAAUGACAGAUUUCACAAGGGGCAAAGGGCCCUUGAAAACAACUAUGGACGUCAUCAACGCUGCAAAAAAGAUAUCAGAGUAUGGCACUAAACUGGACAAAUUGGCACGAACCAUUGCUGACCAGUGCCCAGAGUCGAGCACCAAGAAGGAUCUUAUUGCUUAUCUUCAGCGCAUAGCACUUUAUUGUCACCAGCUCAACAUCACCAGUAAAGUGAAAGCUGAUGUGCAGAACAUUUCUGGAAACCUCAUCGUCUCUGGGCUUGACAGUGCCACAUCUCUGAUUCAAGCUGCCAAAAACCUGAUGAAUGCAGUUGUGCUAACAGUGAAGGCGUCAUAUGUAGCAUCAACUAAGGCAAGUAACCACACUUUGUGACACAGUGCCUUGUACUAACAGUUCUUUUUCUUACCACAGUAUCCAAGAAGUGGCGUUGUGAGUUCACCGAUUGUUGUGUGGAAGAUGAAGGCACCUGAAAAGAAGCCUCUGGUUCGCCGGGAGAAGCCUGAAGAAGUCAGAGCUAAAGUACGCAAGGGCUCACAGAAAAAGAACAUCGCGCCCAUCAAAGCGCUCAGUGAGUUUCAGAGUCUGGCCGAAUCAGUCUGAGUGGCAUGCCCUCCUGCACGGCCUUUCCUCGUAGCCCCAUCCGGUGCUAGGUUGUGAACAGUCACACACGAGUGGUCACCUCCCCAAUAAACAGGAUCACCUUCCUCCACCAUGUGUAUGCACUGGCAUGCAUCCCAUUAUCCCUCUUUCUGCUCGAUUGUGUGCUGUUUGUGUGUGCUUUCUUGUCAAGUGCCCUUUCAUAACCAAGCUAGGGUUUCUAUUUGCAGCAUGAGUCACUACUGCUGUGGCUGUCACUGCUUUCUUGCCCGUUCGAGCGAAGGACGUGCUCUACUUUCUCCUAGCACUUCGUUAGUGGUUUAGAAACAGCUUCAUCUCUGUGUGGAACAUGGUGGGCCCACUUCUGCAUCCAGUCUUGUAGCAAUUGCACCGAAUACUUUCCUGUACACGUGAGAACUCCUGCUAGUUUCACUCAUAACACACUGUAACCCACUAAUGUCUUUAGCCAAUCUGCUACAAAUUAAUAGCAUGAAUAUGCCGUGCGAUGUUUCUUGCUUUCCUCUCUCUCUGUGGUGCUCUAGGGACAUGGCAGGGACUGCUUGUGUUCUUGAGGGAAGUUUUACUCGUGUACCUAACCACUAUUUACUUACAAAUACCAAAACUUACACUUCAGUGAAAUUCAUGUUUUGUUUGUACAUUAUAUAUUUAAGAGACACAUUUAUGUAUGGACAGUAACAAAUGUUACAUUUGUGAUUAUGCUUUGUGAGAACUGCCAUGUGUUUUUCCACUUUUGUAUAAGCUCUUCCCAUGCACCCACUGUGCCUCUAAUGGGAAACUGGUGUUGUCCUUGAAUAGGCAGACUAAAUGCAGUUUUCUGGCACAAUUGAGACAUGUCUCUGCCUGUACGAAAAAGAGGGGGGGAGGGCACAACAUGAAAACUGCUUUGGUGUGCGUUGUCAAGGUUGCCACAAGUUUUAUUUACAAAGACGUGUACACUGAGAAUGAUAGCCUUUGUAGACUAUUUAAUAAAAGCAACAAACUUUGUGAAAUCAAUUCCCUUUAUGUUUAAAUAAAGAAAUGUGCACCUUUA